AGUAACGCGUGAGGAACCUGCCUCAAAGAGGGGACAACAGUUGGAAACGACUGCUAAUACCGCAUAAGCCCACAGCUCGGCAUCGAGCAGAGGGAAAAGGAGUGAUCCGCUUUGAGAUGGCCUCGCGUCCGAUUAGCUAGUUGGUGAGGUAACGGCCCACCAAGGCGACGAUCGGUAGCCGGACUGAGAGGUUGAACGGCCACAUUGGGACUGAGACACGGCCCAG
rnacentral:rRNA from 1 species